rnacentral:tRNA from 1 species
AGACGUUUGGCCGAGUGGUCUAAGGCGCCAGAUUUAGGCUCUGGUCUGAAAGGGCGUGGGUUCAAAUCCACAGCGUCAA